CUGGCACUCUGUGCUAUCUUGGUGUAGUUAUACAUAUCUUUGACACGGGUACUGCACGCAAUCUCCAUUUUAGAUAAUCCCAUCUGCUGUAGAAGAAGAACAUGUCAAGGCCACAGCCGUCAACAUUUCUUACGCAGCACCAGGACAUGGCAGACAAAUCAUCAGAAAAACAGCAGGAAUGGGAAGAUUUGGAGGCGGCAUCCGAUGAGGAUUUGGAAGUGUCCUCGUAUGACCUCAUGACUGAUCCUCAGUUCCCCCCAUCAAAGGACCCCUACACCCCACCAGACAGUGAGACACCCUGCCCUUCCUCCACCCUGACCACGGGGCCUGGAUCCUCCCCUUUCACACAGAAGAAGGACUUCACUGCUGCCGUUUCCUCCAAGAGGUCUCGGGCCUCUAGUUCCACAGAGUCGAGAGGCAACACACCCAUUGGUUCCCAGAGAGACCUCAGUGAUGUGGAUUCUGACCAGAUGGACUUCAGUUUUGAUGCCACGGUCGCUACCAAGAAGUCCCGGCUCUCCAGUUCGACCAAGACCAGGGCCACCCGCCUCGGCUCCCAGAGAGUCCCUAAUUAUGUGUUUUCUGACCAAAUGAGCAUGACGUCAGAUGAGGAUUUUGACGUGUUGUCAGAUGAUCAAAUGAAUUAUCCCCACUUCAUCCCAGCAGAGGAAAACUCUGAUUCAACAGACAGUGAGACACCCUGCACGCCCUCUACCCCGUCCCCAAAGUCUAAACCCGGCCCUGUCAAACAGAAGAAAAGCAUGUCUACAUUAACAAUCAAAACCUGCAGUAAGACCAAGGAUGGGAAAAGGCUCUAUGACAAAAAGCAUUUCUGUAUAUACUGCAUGAAACCCAAUUCUAAAAUAUCCAGGCACUUAGAAAGAAAGCAUGGAGAUGAGGAGGACGUAGCCCGGGCUUGUAGCUUCCCAAAAGGCUCUAAGAAAAGGUCAGCCUUGCUUGAAGAGCUGAGAAACAAAGGUGACUAUCAACACAACAUCUUAGUGCUUGAAGAGGGGAAGGGAGAGAUCGUUACAUGGAGACAACCCCCAGGAAGUGCUUCCAUUGAGGACUACCUGCCCUGUUCUCACUGUUUGGCUUUUUUUGUGAAGAGCGAGUUAUGGAGACACGAGUCGUCUUGCAGGGCAAAAAAGGAAGGAGAAAAAGGGUCAAAGAAUAGUGAAGAAAAAGGGUCGAGGAAGAGGGUCCAAUCUCUAGCUUCCCAUCUGAUCCCAAUCUCUAAAAGUGCUUCGCAGGGAUGCCAAAAGAUCAUCCACAAAAUGCAACAAGAUUCAGUGGCUUUUCACAUACGAAACGACCCCUUCAUUUGUCAGUUUGGAGAUGCUUUGUACGCAGAGCGUGGUCAUGAGUUGUCCCAGCACGGCUACAUCUCUCAGAGAUUAAGGGAAGUGGGUAGACUCAUGGUAGCGGUCAAGAAGCUUGACAGCAGUAUACAGCACCUACAAGACGUCUGUAAACCCAGCCGGUUCGAACUGGUCGUUGAAGCGGCAAAGAAGGUCAGUGGGUUCAAUCCGGACAAAAAUGACUACACCAAGCCAAGUUCAGUAAUCAGAAUAGGACACUCACUUACGAAAGCAGCGGAAUGUUUAGCGAACCAAAGUGUGAUUAUUGGCGAUAAGGAGUCCCAUAAGGAUGUAAACAACUUUGUGAAACUAAUGACCUCCUCUUGGAGAACCUAUGUAACUUCUAAUGCACACAGGUCAAUUGAACAGAAGAAAUGGAACAAAGAAGAUGCCGUUCCGUUAACAGAAGUUGUGAAGAUCCUCACAACAUGCUAACGUUAAUUAUAUGAAGACAACAAGGAUCCUUCUUAGACAGUGCUUUCCAAUACAUCUGGAAGAUGUUGAAUGGGAGCCUUACUGCCAUGACAAUAAUAUUCAGUACGAGGUGAGAAAAGGAGGGCGCCCGUCCUUUUAACCAAGAGAAGUUCUCUUGAGGUUAGACUAUGUAGGGACGGAUUUAUCUAAAAUCCCAGACACACGUACCCUGCAGGGCAACCGAAUAGGCAAAGAUUUAACCCUGCCUAAAACUGGAACUUAAAUACACCCUCCUCUUAAAAGAACCUUCCCGGCAUCAGGGGACCAAACAGACUUCAGAUGCUUUUAAAACGUAUUAUUUGGUCAAGACGCCAAAAUCAGGACCUCGUGUAAUUCUCCUUCUCAAGGGAAGCCCUGAAGUGAGAUUGUCUGCGUGCAUAGAGUACACCGUGUUUUCAUGCUUUGAGCGUUGUUUACUGUAGAUGUUACAUGGAUGAUAUUCUUUCCUGAAUACGUUUUCUUGCUUUCAGUGAAAGCAGGCCUAAGGACUCACGGUUAUGUAAGGGUCAUGUAAGGGUCAUGUAUGAGGUCCCCACCCCCAUGUGUGUACCUAGGAUUUGUGAUCGUAACCAUAACAACUUUGAGAGGGGGAUGGGACUCCUCACAGAGGUUUCUGGCCACUCAUCCUGAUCAGGGCGUGAGCAUGGGACGUGUCAGCCAAUCAGGUGGUAUGAACCCCGCCUGGCCCUGCCCUCACAUUUCAUUGGAAUUUCACUGAGAGCUUGGGGUGUCGAUGCCCCCCUCCCCCACCACAGUGUCCCUGCAAUCCAGUGGAUGAACACAGUUCUUUCUUGCAAACGGCCCAAAAGCCGGAGCGGACGGGGAUGUCUGUGUUUAGGACCACGAAACGUAAGAAGUCACGCUUCUCUUUAAGCGAAUCCUGGACUUGUACCAACAAAUCCACUGUCGAUCAUAGAUGAGACCUAGAAUUCCCUCUUGGAAAGAGACCUAGAAUUCUCCCUCUUAGUCCGGCUGAUGAUUUAGUGUCCACCCAUCGCAUUCAGAGAACCUUAAGGACCAAUGGUGGUGUACACAUCUGUCCUCCCAUUGGGUGUGGUUGCGACAGGGCAUUACACCUGAAGGCUGAGUAUUCUAUAGAAAAUACUUGCAUUCCGGUUGUAAAGUUCUUACCACUAAAAUAAUCUUCAGUAAAUACUGGAAUAAGCUCUUUCUCUCUUUCGGUUGUAUAAAAAGUAAAUAUCAAAUUGCCUACUACUUUGCCAUAAUCUGCUGUGUUUCUAUUCAAUUCUAAUUAAUGUUCACUAUGUUUCUAUAAUAAAUCUUCAUGAUAUAAAAGCA